GCAGUAGCAGUCACGUGGGUGGUGGAGUGCCGGCGGGUUGUAGGGAUAUAAGUGAAGCAGGAGGCAUCAGAUCAACCCUCCAGAAAGCGGUGUGUCUCUUGUGCUGUGUCUCUUGUUUAUGAAUGACCCAUGUGCGGCGGCAGGAACCAGUGUGUAAUUAAGGUGAUCUAUGAAGAAAUCCUCCCCGAGAAAACUAUGAAGGACGUGGAAUGAUAAAGGAAGGAUAUGGAAGGCAGGACAUAGCAAGACAAGGCAUGGCAAGGCAGGACGGGGCGGGGCAAGACCUGCAUCGCCUCUUUAAUCACUGCCACAACUGAGGUGCCGCGCCGCCUCCUCCGCGGUGGGUCGCUGCAGAUCUCACCCUUUGAUUAAGAACCAAUUUAGCCGUGUAAUUAGACGAAGUGAGCGGUUAGCUAUUGAGAGGGUCAUUAGCUGCCUACUGGACGUAUUGUUCGAUCUUUACUCGGUGGGUAGUUUCGGUUGUCAGUAACAUAUUUAGUUAACUCGUUUGUAUGCGAAGGUGGUAGGUGAGUCAGUUUGGUAAGUCGGUUUGGUAAUCCUCCUGAGUGUUUCUCCUUGGGCUUAAUGCAGUGUUGUGGUGCAUGUGCAGAGUAUUGUUUCUAGAGACGCCACUGACACUAAAAGGCGUGAGUGAUGGAGUUAUUUAAGUCUGUUAGUGCUGAAAGUUUUAUUUGUUAGUUGAGUGAGAUCGUCUUGGGCUACUGAAGUGAAGCAACAGUCUCUGCCUGCUUUUAUUUUUUUUCUUUUCUCCCUCCUUUCUUCUUUCUUUCCUUCAUUCCUUCUUUCCUUCCUUCCUUCUUUCCUUUCUUCCUUUCUUCCUUCCUUCUUUCCUUCAUUUCUUCUUUCAAAUUUUUCUUUCCGCAGUUAUGCUUAAGAUCUCUCCUAUACACACUCUUUGUUCCUCAUUUUUCUCUCUUUCCUUCUCCCCUUGCUUCCUUCCUUCCCUUUUUCCCUCUACAGUUAUGCUAAACCCUACACACACCUUUUUUUCUUCCUUCUUUCCUUUACUUUUAUCCUUCUUUCCUCUUUAGAAUUUUCUCUCCAGUCCUCUGAAGACAACCUUCAAAGAUUACUCCUUAUGUCUCUGUGUAUACUUUCCCUCUCCUGCUCUCAUUCCAGAGACAGUCUCGCUAGGACCUACAUGUCUGCUUCUGUUUUCUUACUGCCAAAAUAUAUUUGU